rnacentral:rRNA from 1 species
GAUGAACGCUGGCGGCGUGCCUAAUACAUGCAAGUCGAGCGAACAGAUGAGGAGCUUGCUCCUCUGACGUUAGCGGCGGACGGGUGAGUAACACGUGGAUAACCUACCUAUAAGACUGGGAUAACUUCGGGAAACCGGAGCUAAUACCGGAUAAUAUAUUGAACCGCAUGGUUCAAUAGUGAAAGACGGUUUUGCUGUCACUUAUAGAUGGAUCCGCGCCGCAUUAGCUAGUUGGUAAGGUAACGGCUUACCAAGGCGACGAUGCGUAGCCGACCUGAGAGGGUGAUCGGCCACCCUGGAGCUGAGACACGGUCAGACUCCUACGGGAGGCAGCAGUAGGGAAUCUUCCGCAAUGGGCGAAAGCCUGACGGAGCAACGCCGCGUGAGUGAUGAAGGUCUUCGGAUCGUAAAACUCUGUUAUUAGGGAAGAACAAAUGUGUAAGUAACUAUGCACGUCUUGACGAUACCUAAUCAGAAAGCCACGGCUAACUACGUG